GACAUUAAGAAAAGAAAAAGAGAAACUUGGUUAGUAGAUAGAUAGUCUCUGUGUGAUAGAGACAACAUCCUUAUCGGUAGCCAGAGUUAAUGGAUCUCGUUUGCUAACCCACUUUCUGAUGGUAUAAAAAUUUCACCUGCUUUGAUUUUCUCUAGCAAUUUGCUUGCUUUUAACAGGGAACACAAUUGAUUUGAAGUAAGGAUUAACGAUGGCUUACUACUACAGCUCUGGCUACUACGACAAUAAUUAUCUUGAUCAUGAGCAUCAUCAUCUUCUGACAACUUAUGCUGGUAAAUAUGAAACUGCUCCAUCACAAGCCUUGACUGUGUAUUCUAGCUAUGAUUUCAGUGACAAUGAUUUCUUUCAGUCUGAUCCAACUCCUUAUUCUGGUGUUUAUGAUCCUGCCAUGACAAUAUCCAAGGCUAGAUACUCGUUAUCUACGUCCAGGGAAUCGAAACAUGUGGCGUAUCACCCAGUUUCCUUCAAUAAUACUCAAAACCAAAAUCCGUUUACCAUCUUUUUCUCAAUCCAAGAGUUUAAUCAGCCAGAUUUUCAAGAAUAUGAUCCAACACCUUAUGACGGUGGCUUUGAUCUUGCUGCAACUUAUGGCAAGCCUCUGCCUCCUUCAACUGGAAUAUGUUAUCCACCUUCAUUGAUGGAUCCUACUGAUUCCUCAGAUGAUUUCUCUUAUGAUUCCAUUGAAUCACCUUAUGGCAAAGACCAAGCUGAGGCCAGUGAUUCUGCUGGAAAACCUCUAGAUGGAACCAAACUGAUCCCUGAUAAUAAACCUGAAAAGCAGUCUCAGAAUAAAAAUGGUAGUAUUAGCUCAGAAAAAAAUAAGCCUUCUGAGUUAAAAGCAGACAACGAUUGCCAUAAUGACCAGCCUGGAUUGUGCCAAGGUAAUUGUGAUUACUAUAAAGAAGUGCCUGAAAUUGUUCCAGCAGGGUAUGACCUGGAAGCAAUAGACAUUUGUGAGAGCUUGUUUGGGUACUUUCCUUGCUUGUCGCAGUAUAAGAGUUGCAUAAACCAUCAAGAAAGUCUUGACUAUGAAGACUGCAUCUGGAAUGGAGCUGCAGAUUAUCUCUUUGGUAGUUCUUAUGAUCCAUACCAGUAAAGGUGGGAUGAAGGUGAUUGUGUUGAGACAAGCUCUGGCUCCCAGAGGACUUAUCAUGAUUGUUAUUAGUAGGUUGAGUAUGACCAGAAAUUCAAGAGUCCAGAGACAUGUUGAAUGAGUCUGAGGAUUCUUUGGCCCUUUCAUUAGAUUUGUUGUUAAGUUCCGGGUUGAGUUGCCUGACGACAUGACACACUCUUCUCAUCUGCCGAAAAAACUCUGGAGGAAUAACAAGAAAGAAGUUUGUUCUUACUUUCGGAAAGAAGACUUUGUGAAGGAGAAAGGUCGCUCUUGCGGCUUUUCUUCUGCUGCUUCAGAAAAGCUUCUCCUCUAUUAAACUAUCUUAAAUAUUUUUGCAAUUUCAGUUAUAUUUCGAAUUACUAU